GCUCAGAGUCUGCUAAUUAAGGACACUUUGAGUUUGGAGCUCAUUAGCUCAAAGGAAUCACUCUUUAAUCCAGUGAUUACUCUGAGGAAAGGCUUUGUUUUCUGCAGAGGCCACUGCUGCAGAAGUGGCAGAGCCAAUAUAUCCACUGGGAGGAAAAAUUCUUACCUGUGCUGAGGCUGCCUGCGCCUGCUGCUCCUGCUGCUGCAGCUGUCUCUGGAGCAGCUGGACCUGGUGCUCUGCAGAGCAGGGCGACUCCGCCGCCAACCGCUCCAACACAGGGGCACCGAGGAUGGGCGAGCCCAGCAGGAGGGACGGGUCACUGGAGGCCUGGGCCGGAGUUCUAUGACUUCAGACCAAAAGUACAUGACACUGCAGACACAGAGUGGGAGUUAAAGACAGAGGAGCAGGACUUUGCAGGAGUGACACUGGAAUGAACCAGGAGUGUGUGAAGGUCUGCAUACAUUACCUUCCCAUCAUCACCGAGGGCUUCGUCCCGUUUGCCCCGCUCCAGGUCUGACGAAGAGAUGCAGUCGAUGCUCUCCUCUGUGGUGGCUUCAAGGUCGGUCUCCUCUGACAGCGCAAACCUCUUCUUAGCUGUGGCGAGGGCAGAUAUACAGGGGAGAUUUUCAUGCUCUCUCAUCACCGUAAGGAUUAUAGUGCAACAUUUCUGCAGGCAGAGGCGGCAGCAGGCGCAGAGCUGGCACGAGCCCAUGCAGAGGUCUUUGAUCAAGGGCUUGCACGACACACCAGAACGGUUACGCUGCAGCAGCGUGGCAGGCUGCUAGAAACAAUCAGCGGCAGAUAAUGACAUGUUUUCUUAAGAGAUGUGCAAGCGUGUCACCGUGGGUUUCAGCAGGUGUUCACCGUGGCAUGCUUGUGCGAGAGGGACAGAGAAGGCUGGGGGAGUUUGUGUGUGUUGGUGUGUGAGAGGACAAAAAGGGGUGGCUGAGUUUGUGUGUGCGUGUGUGUGAGUGAGGAUGUCGAGAGGGAGGGGAAUGGGUGUGGAAAUGUGUGUGUGUGUAGGCGUGAGUCACCUGGUGCUGCCUGCG